ensembl:lncRNA
CAGGGAUCCAUGGUGCCAGGAUGACAGGAAGGAAAGAAGGUGGAUGCCAGUGGAUUAGUAGCAGACCAGGCAGUAAGGCAGUAUUAGUAGCAGAACAGACAGCAGGCAGUAAGGCAGUAUUAGUAGCAGACCAGACAGCAGGCAGUAUUAGUAGCAGACCAGACAGCAGGCAGUAUUAGUAGCAGAACAGACAGCAGGCAGUAUUAGUAGCAGAACAGACAUCAGGCAGUAUUAGUAGCAGAACAGACAGCAGGCAGUAAGGCAGUAUUAGUAGCAGAACAGACAGCAGGCAGUAAGGCAGUAUUAGUAGCAGAACAGACAGCAGGCAGUAUUAGUAGCAGAACAGACAGCAGGCAGUAUUAGUAGCAGACCAGACAGCAGGCAGUAUUAGUAGCAGAACAGACAGCAGGCAGUAACGCAGUAUUAGUAGCAGAACAGACAGCAGGCAGUAAGGCAGUA